AACUGUGCUUAUAGCACUGACUACAUAAUGGGAUUUGGAGUCCUGAGAAAUUACUACAGCCAGUGAUGUGCUGGAGCUAAACGCUACUCUUACAAGAGCCAGUGGAAUCAUCAGGCAAAGCUAGUAACAUCAGAGGUGUUCACUGAAUAGCUGAGCUGAAAAAACCCACCUUCUGAAAGCAGAGUGAAAGUGGAGCCUCAUGGUGGUCUGGGGAAUAUGGCAUUUCCAUUCACAGUCCAAGCAACAAGAGAAACAAGUAACAAUUUAGAAAUGGCACUGAAGAUAGAAUUCCAGAGUUGUCAGCACUCUGACAGCAGUUUGCAGUGGUGUCAAAUUCCUACCAUAGGAGAUGGAACAGAGGAGCAAACAAAGCAGGGGCUGUAAACCCAGCCCCUCCAGCACUGGGCAGGGAAAUAUACAAUGUGGUGAUUCAGUAAUUCUAUAUAUUACUCAGUGCUCAUCAUG